ACAGAAUGGAAUUACAGAGGCAGAAGAAAAGAGGUCUCUGCCAAAUUGAUAGUUUAAAAAACAUUUUAGUGGCCUACUUAACUGUAAUUUGUUUUAGUUUUAAACAAGAAAAACCUCAGCAUGUAAGCAAAGCAGACUGGACUUGAACAGAUAUGGAAUGCAAAGCACACAGGAGAGUCAUGGGGGUCCUGAAGGGGGAUUAGAAGUUGGACAACUUUUUAUGCAAUGAACAACGUUGCAUUGGAGACAGUGGAUUAAACAGUAGUGCAUAUCACUUGGCUGAAGUGACAGGAAUAAAGAACAGAAUGCAUCCACUCCUCCAGUCUCAUUAAGCUGCCUCUUUCUCCUGAAAUUGGAUUGGGAUUCCAGGACACCUCUUAACCUACAGGAAACACUGGAUCUAAAGCUGAAACAGGCUUUUAAAAAGAUUUGCACAAUACAUCCUUCAUAUUGUUAUUUUUAUCUCUGUAAGUUUGUAAUGGCCUCUAUAAAAGAAAGCUGUGUAACAAGAGCAUCAGAUGUUACUUUGCUCACUGUUGACGGCUGUGAAGAACAGAAGAAAACUAGGAAGAAAACCAAGCUGGGAAGGGCAACGAAGGAACAGGUUAGAGUUCAAAAGUAAAAGUAUGUUCCACACAAAAGAAAGAGUUCAGAGAGGAGGCCUUGCUCUGUUGCCCAGGCUGGAAUGCAGUGGUGUGAUCAUGGCUCACUGCAGCCUCGAACUUCUGGGCUCAAAUGAUCUUCUUGCCUCAGCCUCUUGAGUAGCUGGAAUUACAGGUUGCUGGGGCAGCUCUGAUCCACAUACGACUUAGGGACCCAGGAUGCAGCUGCUUCAACAUCUUGUAGCUGUACUAUCUGGAAUACAUGGGCUGCCAGUUGUCAUGACUACUCUCCUAUGCUUCAGCCAAAAAGUUAAGCACUUUAUUUCUUCAUAUAGCCCAUUGGUAAGAAUUAUUCAUAUGUCUCACUACAGGGUGGGCUGGGAGUGUACCUUCAUUAUGUAGGAAAAAAUAAAACAUAAUUGUGAGAAUUAUCCAAAUGUGACAUAGAGGCUCAAAAUGAGCACACGCUGUUGGAAAAAUGGCACCU
rnacentral:lncRNA from 1 species